rnacentral:ncRNA from 1 species
GCCUCCCAAAAGGUAACGGAGGCGUGCAAAGGUUUCCUCGGGCCAGACGGACAUUGGUCCUCGAGUGCAAAGGCAGAAGGGAGCUUGACUGCAAGACUCACCCGUCGAGCAGAGACCGCAGCAGUUUCUAC